AACCUCACCACUCAAAUAGAGGAUUAUAUGUUUAUAUAUACAAUGGAAUAUGAAAAAAGUGGAGAUACUGAUAUUGAAAAACGGUGACAAAGACUCUGCAGUUGACGCAAUCAAAGAAAAUAUUCCAAAUAAAUCUACAACUGAAUUGGAAAUUUUAAAUAAAAAAUUAUACCAAAAAAUAGUUUAAUGAAGAUAUCAGCAAUUAGACGGUUACUGCAAAACUCAGUUAGUAAACAUUUGAGUAAUAUAUUCACUAUGGAAUCUAACAUAGGUGGUACGCACGGCAAGAGGUUUUUAAAAGAAUUUCAAAAUGUUUACACCGCAGUACUAGAUUCUUUAAUAAGAUUUACGUCGAGCGACAAUUCCGAAACUCAACUACGGAAGGCAUUGCAAUUAUACAAGAACCGUUUUUUUUUUUUUUUCAAAAGAAAGCGAAUGAAAAUAAAUAGAAGCAAUUCCUUCGUUAAGUUUAAGCUUUUAAGAAA